rnacentral:rRNA from 1 species
UACGUAGGUGGCGAGCGUUGUCCGGAAUUACUGGGUGUAAAGGGCGUGUAGGCGGGGAUGCAAGUCAGAUGUGAAAUUCCUAGGCUUAACCUGGGCGCUGCAUCUGAAACUGUAUCUCUUGAGUGCUGGAGAGGAAAGCGGAAUUCCUAGUGUAGCGGUGAAAUGCGUAGAUAUUAGGAGGAACACCAGUGGCGAAGGCGGCUUUCUGGACAGUAACUGACGCUGAGGCGCGAAAGCGUGGGGAGCAAACAGG